rnacentral:rRNA from 1 species
CGGGGUAGGAGUAACGCGUGAGGAACCGGCCUCAAAGAGGGGGACAACAGUUGGAAACGACUGCUAAUACCGCAUAAGCCCACGGCUCGGCAUCGAGCAGAGGGAAAAGGAGUGAUCCGCUUUGAGAUGGCCUCGCGUCCGAUUAGCUAGUUGGUGAGGUAACGGCCCACCAAGGCGACGAUCGGUAGCCGGACUGAGAGGUUGAACGGCCACAUUGGGACUGAGACACGGCCCAG